rnacentral:rRNA from 1 species
GACGGAGGGGGCUAGCGUUGUCCGGAAUCAUUGGGCGUAAAGCGCGUGUAGGCGGCUCGAUAAGUCCGGUGUGAAACCUUGGGGCUCAACCCCAAGCCUGCACUGGAUACUGCCGAGCUAGAGUCCGGGAGGGGAGAGCGGAAUUCCUAGUGUAGCGGUGAAAUGCGCAGAUAUUAGGAAGAACACCGGUGGCGAAGGCGGCUCUCUGGAACGGUACUGACGCUGAGACGCGAAAGCGUGGGGAGCGAACAGG